rnacentral:rRNA from 1 species
UACGGAGGGUGCAAGCGUUAUCCGGAUUCACUGGGCUUAAAGGGUGCGUAGGUGGCUUUGUAAGUCAGUGGUGAAAGCCCGGAGCUCAACUCCGGAACUGCCAUUGAUACUGCUUAGCUUGAAUCACGUCGAGGUGGAUGGAAUAAUACAUGUAGCGGUGAAAUGCUUAGAUAUGUAUUAGAACACCGAUUGCGAAGGCAGUUCACUAGGCGUGUAUUGACACUGAGGCACGAAAGCGUGGGGAUCAAACAGG